GAUGAACGCUAGCGGCAGGCCUAAUACAUGCAAGUCGAACGAGAUUAAGAGGCUUGCUUCUUAUGAAAGUGGCGCACGGGUGCGUAACGCGUAUGCAACCUACCUUAAUCAGGGGGAUAGCCCGAAGAAAUUCGGAUUAAGACCGCAUAAAAACACAGGAUAGCAUUAUCCAAUGUUCAAAUAUUUAUAGGAUUAAGAUGGGCAUGCGUGUCAUUAGCUAGUUGGCGGGGUAACGGCCCACCAAGGCGACGAUGACUAGGGGAUCUGAGAGGAUGACCCCCCACACUGGUACGGAGACACGGACCAGACUCCUACGGGAGGCAGCAGUAAGGAAGAUUGGUCAAUGGAGGGAACUCUGAACCAGCCAUGCCGCGUGCAGGAAGACAGCCCUCUGGGUCGUAAACUGCUUUUAGUCGGGAAUAAACCUUUCUACGUGUAGGAAGCUGAAUGUACCGAAGGAAUAAGGAUCGGCUAACUCCGUG
rnacentral:rRNA from 1 species